UUUUAGCAGAAGCCUUUUUUUCCUUCAGUACCGCUGUUAGUCUGUGCCCAUUGGACUCCACACCAUCAAGAUUGUAAAUCAUCUGGCUUUCUAGUUGAUUUGUUCGGUAACUUAAAUAUAUUAGUAAUCCAGGGUGCGCAUGGUGUGAGAGGAUCAUGAAUGUAAGGUUUGCGGCCAAACACUGAAUCAAGCCAAUCACA
rnacentral:lncRNA from 1 species